GUAGGCACUCUUUGGUGGAAAGGUUGUUUAGGAGGCAGGUUAUUAAGGGAAAAAGGUACCAAAUGGAAACUCCAUUCAAGAAUGGAACUUUUCAUAUUUGAUUAAUUUACUGUUGUCAAAAUGUGACUAGAGACAGAUACUACUUUGUUACUGUCAUUCAAUUCUCUGAUUUAUAUUUUAAUAUUUGUAAAUAGUAUCCUUUGUUCCUUUCCAAAUGAAGGAGGCAACCUAAAAUACAACCAUGUAUGCAAGUGUGGAAUUGCAUAGAAUGGGAAGGCAUAUUCAUGAUACUUUAUUGUCCGCUUCUCUAUAUAUUACAGUUAUGAUCAUUUGAGAUCCAGUGGUAAUCAAUAAGUUGAGAUCAGGUAUAUAACAUAAGGGUGACAAUUAGAUCUACUCCUACAUUUCAAAGAUAUUUUUGAAAUUUUAAAUGAAAUAUGAUUAGAUGACUGAAAUGAAUUUCUUGGUUAUUGGUUUCAUUUGGUGGAAAUUAUGUUUAGGAUAAGCACCUAUGAGAACAAGGUAUGGUGAAUCAAGCACUUCUGCAAUUACUUUCCCUAAUUAAUAUGCACUCAAGUCAAGCAGUAACAUACACAUACUGAGGCACACACAAAUUAUGGAUAGCACAUGCAUAUAAUGCGUAGAUAUUUCAAUCAUGUAAUUUCUAUAUAUCCUCUGAAGAAAAUCCUUCCAAACUGACUGUUAUUGGGCAAAUCUUAAA
rnacentral:misc_RNA from 1 species